rnacentral:rRNA from 1 species
UACGUAGGGGGCAAGCGUUGUCCGGAUUUAUUGGGCGUAAAGAGCGUGUAGGCGGCCAGGUAGGUCCGUUGUGAAAACUGGAGGCUUAACCUCCAGCUGUCGAUGGAAACCAUCUGGCUAGAGUCCGGAAGAGGAGAGUGGAAUUCCCGGUGUAGCGGUGAAAUGCGUAGAGAUCGGGAGGAACACCGGCGGCGAAGGCGGCUGCCUGGACCGGCCCUGACGCUGAGGCGCGAAAGCUAGGGGAGCAAACAGG